rnacentral:tRNA from 1 species
AUCUAAAUAGUUUAAGUGUGAAAAAUAUUGGUUUGUGGUGCCGAUGAUAUAGUUUUUAUUUUAGAUU